CCUCAAGUCAUAUAUGUCCAAAAGUCAUUUGUGGGAAUGGGUAUAAUCUUUUAUAACAAAAUUCCUCAGCCCAUUUUGGACUUACCUUUACACGGGUUAAAAAAAUCCAUUAAAAAUAUGCUCCUGA